CGCUAGUGCUCUCUGGUGAACUUUCUAGUCACUGACUGUCUGUCAGAAGAAGGAGGAAAAGCCCCGGCGGUGUGUUGGAAGUCACAAGGUCUGAACCGAAUGCAAAGCAGAGUCGGACCGCGCGGCUCAGCCAAACCCGUGCAGAGGGCUCAAAAUGGCUGCUCAGGGGUCGCCCUGCAGCCUCACCUUGGGCUGGGGGACUUUAUCCUCCAGAUUCCCCGAAGGGUGCAUGUGUGCCUUGGUUAUCGGAGCAGACAUCUGCUCUGGGUUUUCAGAUACUGUUCACUUAGUGGCUCAGGCACCUUGCUCCUUCACCAGUGAUGUUGGCUCCAACAAAGAAAGCAGCUGUACCUCCAGCCUCAGGAACCCGGGACACAAACCGGGACCCUAACCAAGGACCGCCUACAGGGCUUUCCUUGUGUUGUUAGAAAAUGUAAAACAUAUCUCCCCAAACUAUGAAAUUACCAUUCAACAGAAUUAACGGAAUUGAGAAACGAAAACAAAAAGUUUAAGUGAAAAUAAAAGCAAUGGACCCGAAGGAGAGUGACCAGCAUGAGUUCCCACUUUGUCGUUCUCGCACUGUUCUGGCUGGUUCCGCAUGGGACCAGGGUCUCUGGGACAAAGACAAUGGCAGCCCCUCCUUCCCUCAACACAGAGGAAGAAACAGGGAUUCACAUGUGGCUGUUUGACAUACGACAUGUGAGAAACUCAAGGAACCACAUCAAGAUGCAGAAGCCACCCUCCAGCAGCCUGGUUUCCACCUGGAGCUUGGGGAGACCCCGGCUGAGUGUCCCCAGCAGCAGCAGGUGUGAGUCACCAGGUGCUGCUCGUUCAGCAAAACAGACAGCUCAAAGCUGCCUGGCUCCUAUGCUUCUGGGAGGUGGGACCUGCUUCAUUUAACCUUGAACCAGAACCUCACAUUACCUAAGAGGCAUCCAGUAAGUCUGUCAGGUGUGACCAUUGCAUCUCGUGUAAGGAAACAGCCACUAAUAAAAAGGUACAGAGA